GUGACUUCAUGUUGUGUCUUUUCCUGGGACCAGCCCAUUCCUGCUUGGUGCAGACACAAAGAGCAUCCCCUCGUAUUGCAACUUGCAUCGGCCAUGAGCUCCCUCUCUAUCUAUGAGGACCAGAGUCAACAUCAGCCUUUAGAAUUCAGCCUCUCCACUCGCAGGGAAAAGACUUUGUCAAAGGUGCAGUUGCCAAACACCUGUGACUUCAUGCUUGUCUUUUUCAGCUUUGUUGUAGAUUUUAAGUUAUCACAAUCAAGCACAUUUAACUUUAACUAAAGAUGAGGAUUCCACACCCCUAUCCUCCACUUCCCCAGAGGACCAGUCCAAGGUCAUAGGUACCCUCUCCUCCCCCUCCUCUCAAUACCUGGUGCAUUCCGUUUUAGGAGAGGGCUCUUAUGGAAAAGUCACCAAGUGUGUGAAUAUGGAAACCAGGAAGCCGGUGGCUUUAAAAAUAUUCAAGAAUAGAAACAUCACUCCUGAAAAAGAGACAGAGGUGCUCACUCUCAAACUCCUUAGCGAUUUUGAUCCAGACACGUUCAACUUUGUGAGAUGGAACUUUUUUUUGUUGAGUAUGAAAUGCUGGACUAGACUGUAUGAUUUCCUGAAGGACAGGAAGGAAGGAAAUACGCCCUGUCCUACAUCAGAUGGCCACUACUUUGCAACUCCUGAAACGCCUAGGAAUUGUACACACAUCUCAAGACAGACAACAUCAUGUUGGUGGACCAUGCAUACUAGCCAUUCAGGAUCAAAGUGAGUGACUUUGGUUGGCCCUUUCCCCAAUGUCACAGUAGCCCUGGGGUAUUGCGCUACUUCCCUACAGGUCUCCAGAGACGAUCCUGGGACUUCCGGUAACAUAGACAUUUGGUCUCUGGGCUGCAUUGCUGCAGAGUUGUUCCUUGGCACCAUACUUUACUCUGAAAGAUGUGAAUACGAAAUGGUAAUUAAAUUACAUUUACAUUAAUUUAGCUGAUGCUUUUGUUCAAAGCAACCUGCAAUCAUCGAGGCAGGUUGCAUUAAGGACCCAAACUGGGAACCCACUAAGCUACACCAGCUGCAGCUGGUCAGUGUUACAAUUAGAAUAUAUCAAAUUAUUGUCUUAAAUACG